GACGAACGCUGGCGGCGUGCUUAACACAUGCAAGUCGAACGCUGAAGCCCUGGCUUUUGUUGGGUUGGAUGAGUGGCGAACGGGUGAGUAACACGUGAGUAACCUGCCCUCUUCUUUGGGAUAACGCCCGGAAACGGGUGCUAAUACUGGAUAUUCACUGAUCUUCGCAUGGGGGUUGGUGGAAAGGUUUGUUCUGGUGGGGGAUGGGCUCGCGGCCUAUCAGCUUGUUGGUGGGGUGAUGGCCUACCAAGGCUUUGACGGGUAGCCGGCCUGAGAGGGUGACCGGUCACAUUGGGACUGAGAUACGGCCCAGACUCCUACGGGAGGCAGCAGUGGGGAAUAUUGCACAAUGGGCGAAAGCCUGAUGCAGCGGCGCCGCGUGAGGGAUGGAGGCCUUCGGGUUGGAAACCUCUUUCGCUCAUGGUCAAGCCGCAACUGUGGGUUGUGGUGAGGGUAGUGGGUAAAGAAGCGCCGGCUAACUACGUG
rnacentral:rRNA from 1 species